AAGCUUUCUUGAAUAUGAGAAAUAAAUUAUUCAUCAUGUGAGACAUGCAUAAGCUAUUCUUAAGUUCUAUUGCUAUUUUUUUUUCUUCUGUGGGUGCAAUUUCUUUGAUCAUUUUGUGACAAUGUGAAAUGUCAGCUCUGUCUGCGCACCUCUUCUCUUAUUUGAAACUUCUAAGUCAGUAUGAAUUAUUCUUUGAGCCAUAAAUUUCUCCAAU
rnacentral:misc_RNA from 1 species